rnacentral:rRNA from 1 species
UACGGAGGGGGCGAGCGUUAUUCGGAAUUAUUGGGCGUAAAGGGCGCGUAGGCGGCUGCACAAGUCAAAGGUGAAAUCCCUCGGCUCAACUGAGGAACUGCCUUUGAAACUGUGCGGCUUGAGGCCGGGAGGGGGUAGCGGAAUUCCCAGUGUAGCGGUGAAAUGCGUAGAUAUUGGGAGGAACACCAGUGGCGAAGGCGGCUACCUGGACCGGUUCUGACGCUGAGGCGCGAAAGCUAGGGGAGCAAACAGG